rnacentral:tRNA from 1 species
GCUUUUAUAGCUUAGUGGUAAAGCGAUAAAUUGAAGAUUUAUUUACAUGUAGUUCGAUUCUCAUUAAGGGCACCAA